GACGAACGCUGGCGGCGUGCUUAACACAUGCAAGUCGAACGGCAGCGCGAGGAGCUUGCUCCUUGGCGGCGAGUGGCGGACGGGUGAGUAAUGCGUAGGAAUCUACCUUAUAGUGGGGGAUAACCCGGGGAAACUCGGGCUAAUACCGCAUAAUCUCUACGGAGCAAAGCAGGGGACCUUCGGGCCUUGUGCUGUAGGAUGAGCCUACGUCGGAUUAGCUAGUUGGUGGGGUAAAGGCCUACCAAGGCGACGAUCCGUAGCUGGUCUGAGAGGACGAUCAGCCACACUGGGAAUGAGACACGGCCCAGACUCCUACGGGAGGCAGCAGUGGGGAAUAUUGGACAAUGGGGGCAACCCUGAUCCAGCAAUGCCGCAUGUGUGAAGAAGGCCUUCGGGUUGUAAAGCACUUUCAGUGGGGAAGAAAGAACCAAAAUUAAUACUUUUGGGUGUUGACGUUACCCACAGAAGAAGCACUGGCUAACUCUGUGCCAGCAGCCGCAGUAA
rnacentral:rRNA from 1 species